GUGGGGAAUAUUGGACAAUGGGCGAAAGCCUGAUCCAGCCAUGCCGCGUGUGUGAAGAAGGUCUUCGGAUUGUAAAGCACUUUAAGUUGGGAGGAAGGGCAGUAAGUUAAUACCUUGCUGUUUUGACGUUACCGACAGAAUAAGCACCGGCUAACUUCGUGCCAGCAGCCGCGGUAAUACGAAGGGUGCAAGCGUUAAUCGGAAUUACUGGGCGUAAAGCGCGCGUAAGUGGUUUUGUAAGUUGGAGGUGAAAUCCCCGGGCUCAACCUGGGAACUGCCUCCAAAACUGCAUGACUAGAGUACGGUAGAGGGUAGUGGAAUUUCCUGUGUAGCGGUGAAAUGCGUAGAUAUAGGAAGGAACACCAGUGGCGAAGGCGACUACCUGGACUGAUACUGACACUGAGGUGCGAAAGCGUGGGGAGCAAACAGGAUUAGAAACCCCGGUAGUCC
rnacentral:rRNA from 1 species